rnacentral:rRNA from 1 species
CCUACGGGAGGCAGCAGUGGGGGAUAUUGCACAAUGGGGGGAACCCUGAUGCAGCGACGCCGCGUGGGUGAAGAAGCGCCUCGGCGCGUAAAGCCCUGUCAGCAGGGAAGAAAAUGACGGUACCUGAAGAAGAAGCCCCGGCUAACUACGUGCCAGCAGCCGCGGGAAUACGGAGGGGGCAAGCGUUAUCCGGAUUUACUGGGUGUAAAGGGGGCGCAGACGGCGAUGCAAGCCAGGAGUGAAAGCCCGGGGCCCAAACCCGGGACUGCUCUUGGAACUGCGUGGCUGGAGUGCAGGAGGGGUAGGCGGAAUUCCUGGUGUAGCGGUGAAAUGCGUAGAUAUCAGGAGGAACACCGGUGGCGAAGGCGGCCUGCUGGACUGCAACUGACGUUGAGGCCCGAAAGCGUGGGGAGCAAACAGGAGUAGAUACCCGGGUAGUC